rnacentral:rRNA from 1 species
AUUGAACGCUGGCGGCAGGCCUAACACAUGCAAGUCGAGCGGAUGAAGGGAGCUUGCUCCUGGAUUCAGCGGCGGACGGGUGAGUAAUGCCUAGGAAUCUGCCUGGUAGUGGGGGAUAACGUCCGGAAACGGGCGCUAAUACCGCAUACGUCCUGAGGGAGAAAGUGGGGGGCUUUGGGCCUCACGCUACCAGAUGAGCCUAGGUCGGAUUAGCUAGUUGGUUGGGUAAAGGCCUACCAAGGCGACGAUCCGUAACUUGUCCGAGAGGAUGAUCAGUCACACUGGAACUGAGACACGGUCCAGACUCCUACGGGAGGCAGCAGUGGGGAAUAUUGGACAAUGGGCGAAAGCAUGAUCCAGCCAUGGCGCGUGUGUGAAGAAGGUCUUCGGAUUGUAAAGCACUUUAAGUUGGGAGGAAGGGCAGUAAGUUAAUACCUUGCUGUUUUGACGUUAACAACAGAAUAAGCACCGGCUAACUUCGUG